GUAAAAUGACUGAUAAAAGUGAUAAAUUGUAAAUUUAUUUAUAAGAAUAUUUUCUUUUUUACUA
rnacentral:tRNA from 1 species